ACUAUUUUACUGUUAAUUACAUCUCAGAGUAGUAACAGAUUUCUCUAAACUCAAAAAAUUUGGCGGCACUCCUCCCUGUUAGAGGAGCCUGCCCCAUAAGUGAUGACCCACGUUUUAUUGUACCAUUUUUUACAGUUUGUAUACCGCCGUUAUGAUAAUAAUUUGAAUUAUUUUCUUAAUUAUAUUAGUCAACACACCAGGUCAAGGUGCAGCUUAUAAAAUGGAGGAGGUGGGCUACAUUAAAAAUAAUUAAACGGAAUUUUUUUUUAAAUUUUAUUGGAAGGUGGAUUUAAUUGUAAUUUUAUUAUUAAAUAUAAUGACAAGGUU
rnacentral:rRNA from 1 species